ensembl:lncRNA
CGAGGUUGUCAGGGUCCAUCCAGGUCUGUGUGUCCUGGGGCGCUGUCGGUGUUGGGGUGAAGGCGGAGGGCUGAGCUCCAUCUCACAGGCCCUGGCCAUCAGAGUGAUAAAGUGGAAAAAGUAUAGAAUUUAAAUUCUAGUUACUAGCUGUAUGGCCUCGAGUAAGUUACUUAAUUUCCCUGAUUCUGUUUGCUCAGAGGUAAGAAGGGUAUUAUAAUCAUCACAACAGUUAAGUUAUAAGAUAUUUGUAAAAUCCAUAGUAGGUUGCUUGAUGAGAAUUCUCUCCAUUUUUUUUCUGUAUCUAGUUAAUGUAACACUUUGUGCCUCCCAGAGGUUCAAAUUCAUUUCUGAACAGAAGAGAAACAGACGAGGUUCAGAUUACCCUCCUUUAGGAGGAAAGGCAGUGAUGAUGGUGUGUGUUUUGUUCCCCGAGAAGGCAAGAAUACUGGAGUGGGUUGCCAUUUCCUUUUCCAGGGGAUCUUCCCUAUCCAGGGAUCAAACCCAGAUCUCCCACAUUGCAGGCAGACAAGUGAGCCAUCAGGGAAGCCCAAAAUAGCAUAGAGUUACAUGCAAUUAAAUAGGCAUUUGUAGCAAAUGGACUGAUUUUCUGAGAAUGGUUCAGAUAUAAUUUCCAGCUGUCUAGUGGGUCAUAAUGAUUUACAUGGCAAAUGAAACUAAUGUGGGCUUAAGUAAUAUGAUUAAACCAGUCUUUCUGGAUCACUCUUUUUCAUUUUAAACUGCCCUGCCAACCCCCUCCCCCACCACACAAGCCAGAAGUGAGAGGUAUUUACAGAAUUUUAGGAGUGGAAAUGAUCCUUACUGUUGUUGGUACUUGUUUAUACAGGAUUGUUCAUAUUAAACCAGACUUAAAUUCUACAUACAAGACUUCCACAGAGGAGCUCAACAUGGCAGAGUAGAGGGAUAUGGAGCUCACUUCCCCUUCAGAUAUAUAUAUAAAAAAUACAUCUAUAUGUGGAGCAAUUCUCACAGAAUAUCCACUGGAAGCUUACAGAUCUCAUACAACCAAAGCUGCAAGAAAGAUCCCCACAUUACUGAGUAGGAUGAAGGAGGAAAAAAGAGGAAGAAUGGGGAGGGAAACUGCCCCUGGGUGGGAGCUGUGAAGUAAGAAAGGUUCCAUCACUCUGGCUGGAGAUCUGCUGAGAUAGUAAGGGAGCUUCCGAGGCUGG